GGGGCUUUGGAACUGGCAGCUCCUGAGGUGGCGGCGGCCGGAGCGGGCACCCCGAACCCAUGCCAGGGAAGAAGAACUAGGCAUAGAGCCAGGACAUCUGAGUUCAAACCCUACGUCUUCCACAGGCCGGCAUGUGACCGGGGGUGGUAUAUUCCUUAGGAGUAAGGUCAGUUUCCUCUAUUCUUUCCUUCCUGCCUACCUUCCCUCCACACUACUUAAUGAGUCCCAAGACCACCGAGAUUUCUAUUUGCCAACAUGGAUUCUAAUUCCUCAUCUGUCUACUCAUUCUUAGACCAAGAAUGAUCACGACACCAAUGCAAGAUUUCUCCCUUUCCUAUAAGGCCUGUGAAUGGUGCCCAUGAGAAUGGUUUAGCAUUAGCAGUGCAGCCAAUGGACGUAAACAGACUGUUGAUCAAUUUAUGGGGCAGUACCUGAAAUCUCAGAUAUACCUACUUGUACAAAUCUUAUUUUUCAAUUCAGAGAAAUGGUCUUUUAAUGAAAAUAACAUAAUAAAGAUAAUACUUCCAAA